rnacentral:rRNA from 1 species
AAAUUGAAGAGUUUGAUCAUGGCUCAGAUUGAACGCUGGCGGCAGGCCUAACACAUGCAAGUCGAACGGUAACAGGAAACAGCUUGCUGUUUCGCUGACGAGUGGCGGACGGGUGAGUAAUGUCUGGGAAACUGCCUGAUGGAGGGGGAUAACUACUGGAAACGGUAGCUAAUACCGCAUAAUGUCGCAAGACUAAAGAGGGGGACCUUCGGGCCUCUUGCCAUCGGAUGUGCCCAGAUGGGAUUAGCUAGUAGGUGGGGUAACGGCUCACCUAGGCGACGAUCCCUAGCUGGUCUGAGAGGAUGACCAGCCACACUGGAACUGAGACACGGUCCAGACUCCUACGGGAGGCAGCAGUGGGGAAUAUUGCACAAUGGGCGCAAGCCUGAUGCAGCCAUGCCGCGUGUAUGAAGAAGGCCUUCGGGUUGUAAAGUACUUUCAGCGGGGAGG